UGAAGACAGUGGUGUUCCCAAGGUGCUCUC
rnacentral:piRNA from 1 species